CCUACGGGAGGCUGCAGUCGAGAAUCAUUCACAAUGGGGGAAACCCUGAUGGUGCGACGCCGCGUGGGGGAAUGAAGGUCUUCGGAUUGUAAACCCCUGUCAUGUGGGAGCAAAUUAAAAAGAUAGUACCACAAGAGGAAGAGACGGCUAACUCUGUGCCAGCAGCCGCGGUAAUACAGAGGUCUCAAGCGUUGGUCGGAAUCACUGGGCGUAAGGCGUGCGUAGGCUGUUUCGUAAGUCGUGUGUGAAAGGCGCGGGCUCAACCCGCGGACGGCACAUGAUACUGCGAGACUAGAGUAAUGGAGGGGGAACCGGAAUUCGCGGUGUAGCAGUGAAAUGCGUAGAUAUCGAGAGGAACACUCGUGGCGAAGGCGGGUUCCUGGACAUUAACUGACGCUGAGGCACGAAGGCCAGGGGAGCGAAAGGGAUUAGAUACCCGGGUAGUC
rnacentral:rRNA from 1 species